UUUUUUUUAACUCUUCAAAAAUAUCUAUCUGAAAAGUCUACAUUUUCUCUCUAUCAAGAGUAAGACCUGAUUCUUUUGCGAUUCACCACUACUGUCAAACCAAUUUCUCAGAUCUCUUCAGAUAACUUCGUUGAAUCCGAUGCUCGAUCUGAGCAAGGUUCAUCUUGGUCGUACCUCUGAGAUGGGUCUGAAGAAUCUCCGAUGAAAAUCAAAUAUAUUUUUUUGUUCCUGUUAAAAAGUCAUCAAACAUAAAAUAAGUAAGGAAGAAUAAAAAUAAAAUUAGAAUAUAACUAUUUUUGAUAAUAAAAUUUAGUAAUUUAAUGGUCAAAUAGUUGAUUUUAACCGGAGGGUGGGAGAUUGAUGAUGCGCUUACAGCUAUCGAGAAGUUGCGGAAUUGCUGCGGUAGCUGCCUGAGGUUUUAGGAGAGCAGGCAUGAGGUCUCAGACUCUUGCAGAAAGGAGCACUGAAAGAAAACAUGCAUCGCGCUUUCACUUCUUCCGCAGCGCUUGCACUCCGUGUUGGCAUUAAUUCCUCUUCGUGACAGAGCUUCACCCCGUUGUUUGACAGCUUCCACGAAAAGAGACGUUGCAAUAUUCCAUACACACGAUCUCCAAUUAAAAUUGUAAGCGGGCUCUGUUCUGUGGCAUGUACUCUGUAAGUUAGCCAACGCGUAACCGGAUUUAGUAGUAUACAACCCCCGACUUUUCAGGCAACCAGACCAAAGUAUCAUUCAUCUCGAAGGAGCUAGGUUGUAAAAGAUGGAUCGCUUCCUCAUUCGAGUUUCUCUUGUAUCACUGUUUUAUAAAUGUUUAACCUGGAUGGAGAACUUCAAAGCCUAUUCAAUUAGACCAUGAUUAUCCGGGUUUCUAAAGACAGUUUUUAAAAUUAAUGAAGCAUUUAAUUAAAUCAAAAAUAAAUAAAAUACAUGUUACCGAUCUUUAAUAUAGGAUUCUAGUGACCGAUUACUAAAGGGUUUUUAACCCACAUGUCAACAAACCAUGCAUUUAUGUCUUCUCUUUAUUUCCUCCUCGUCUUCUCUUGUGUUAGACGAUGACAAAAAACUUCCGUCAGCGACGUCGAAGACUAUAAAUAGAUCCCGUAGAAAAUUCGCUGCUGUUCAAAGAAGACUCGUUUAGUUGUUACUGUUUGUGCCUCUCUUUUUCUGGGUACACACGCUUAAAUUUUCUCGAGGAGGAUUCCUGGGAAAGUUCUGAAAAUAGUUUCCAGAUCGUAAACGAAUCAGUUUCAAUCGAUUCAUCGCUUCACGGAUUCUGAUUCCGAGCUUCUUUUCUGAAUGAAGGCGUAGGUGGUUUUGGGAUUUGUGUAGCUUCAAUAUGAAUUCGGUUGGCAAGAUGUGAUUUACAAAGAUCUUCGUUUCUGAGUUCCUGAAUCCGUGCAGGAACCUGGGUCUGUUUUAAACUACACGGAAGAAGAUAAAAAGGUUGACUUUCUGGUGUUUCAGCCUUUUUAUUCCUGUUGAGCUCUAGGGAUUUCUCCAGCUCUUGAGGAUUUUAGCAUAGAAGUUUGUACAGUUGGUAUGUCAAUUGCUAGUGUAGCUCUUAGUCCAGCCCUGGAAGAAGUUGUCAACUCGUCAAGACUUUUGGAGGGAAGGAGUUUGAGCUCUUUGUUGAGAGGAGUAGAAACGUUAGUUACGUAAAGCAGAAAAUAGCUUUAUUCAAUUCUGAAGGAGAGAUUUCUAGCGAGGAUGUAAGAACAAAUAUUCAUUCCCAAACUCAAGCUUUGUGUCUCUAAAAGUAUUGCUACGUACUGAUAAUGAUAUCAUACUAUGUGAUGGGUUUUGUGACCGAGGCUUUCACCAAUACUGUUGUUUUCUUGUGUCAUGUCUUUAAAAGACUAUCU